UCGCCGGCGACCGGCGCACGGGUGAGUAACACGUAUGCAACCUGGCCGUGACAGAUGGAUAACCGGGAGAAAUCCCGCCUAAUACAACAUAAUGCCGGGAGGGGACAUCCCCUGCCGGUCAAAGGGGGCGACCCCGGUCACGGAUGGGCAUGCGGCGCAUUAGGUAGUUGGUGGGGCAACGGCCCACCAAGCCGACGAUGCGUAGGGGUUCUGAGAGGAAGGUCCCCCACAUUGGAACUGAGACACGGUCCAAACUCCUACGGAAGGCAGCAG
rnacentral:rRNA from 1 species